CAGUAAAAUUCUAGAAGAACCUCUAGAAAUUCCUUACUCCUAAAACAUUUACCAAAGACACGCCAUCUACUCCUAUGGAUCUGCAGUAUUACAGCAACUGGUGACUGGUGAGGAGAUUAUAGGCUCCGUUGACCAUAAGAGGCCAUGAAGGUUUACCCAAGAGGAUGCUCGUCUUUAGCAGACCCAGUUUCUUGGCUGUAGAUUUGGUUGUCCGCUCAUCACCUGAUAGCAGCAAGAUGAAGUCAUGGCUUGGAUGAGAUGAGCCCCAUGGAUGGUUUCCCUUGCAUGGCUUCACCGACCCUCCGAAUAAGGAGUGGAGAUGGGGGAAACCCAACCAAGAGCUUAUGAGGAUUUUGAAAAAAUUAAACUGGAGUCAU